rnacentral:lncRNA from 1 species
AGAGGAGGCUCUGUCCGUUCGGCGUCUGUUUGACGCUCUCGAACCGGCCAAAAGGAUCGGGCUCGGGGCGUGACACAUUUACACAAAUAGUGUAAAUACUUAUAUAAAUAGUACAACACAUGAACCGGCUAUACACAUAUUACAUGAUUUUUAUUAUAUAUUAUUCAAAAUUUAGUAUAGAAAUCAUACAAUAUGUGUAUAAAAGAUUUAUGUUGCACUAUUUGCACAAAUAUUGCACUAUUUAGAAGAGAAUAUUAUACUAUUUGGGAAAGAAUGUUGCACUUUUUAAUCUUAUUAAUUAUACUUUAUUUUUUAUUUUGUCUUAAAUGAGGAUUCUCAUCUCUCAAGAAAAAGUACAUGCAAUUAUGACUUUGCAGUUAUUUUUUUCAAAAAAUUUGACACUUUAUUUAAUAUAUAAUACAAUUUAAUUUUAAAAAUGAAAGAGUGCAAUAUACCAUCUAAAUGAUAUAACAUUCUCUCAUUAUAGUGUAACAUUUACAUAAAUAGUAAUAAAUAUUUGUAUAAAUAGUACAACAUAUGCAUCGGCUAUAUAUAUAUAUUGCAUGAUUGUUAUAAUAUAUUGUAUUAUAUUAUUUUAUUUAUGCGUAAUAUACUAUAUUAUUUAUAAUUUAAUAUAAAAAUCAUGCAAUAUGUAUAUAAACAAUGUAUAUGUUGCACUAUUUGCACAAAUAUUGCAAUAUUUGGAAGAGGAUAUUGCACUAUUUAAUGAGUAUUACAUUUUCUUUUUUUUAUUAUUAUUUGGAGUUUUUUUAUUUAUAUCUUAGAUGAGAAUUCUAUUUUUCAAGAGAAAGAUAGCUGAAUAAUGACUUGCAAAGUUGUAUUUUUUAAAGACAUUUAAUGUAUUUUUUUGUAUUUCGAAGAGGAAUAAUUUGGUCAUGUUUUUAAAAAUUUGGACCGAAUUUACAAAAUCCAAAAAAACAGCUUAUUUUUGCAAAUUCUCAAAAUUAGUAAAUUUUUUAUGC